AUACUUACCUGGCUGGGGAGACACCAUGAUCAAGCAGGUGGUUUUCCCAGGGCGUGGCUCAUCCCUUGCACUCCGGGUGUGCUGACCCCUGUGAUUUCCCCAAAUGUGGGAAACUCGACUGUAUAAUUCUAUGAUUC
ensembl:snRNA U1 U1 spliceosomal RNA